GAUGAACGCUGGCGGCGUGCCUAAUACAUGCAAGUCGAGCGGCAGCACGGUCUUCGGACUGGUGGCGAGCGGCGGACGGCUGAGUAACGCGUAGGAAUAUACCCCAAAGUGAGGGAUAACUGCCCGAAAGGGUGGCUAAUACCGCAUGUGGUCUUCGGACUAAAGCCUUCGGGCGCUUUGGGAAUAGCCUGCGUAAGAUUAGCUAGUUGGCGAGGUAAUGGCUCACCAAGGCGACGAUCUUUAGCUGGUCUGAGAGGAUGACCAGCCAGACUGGAACUGAGACACGGUCCAGACUCCUACGGAGGCAGCAGUAGGGAAUUUUCCACAAUGGGCGAAAGCCUGAUGGAGCAACGCCGCGUGCAGGAUGAAGGCCCUCGGGUCGUAAACUGCUUUAUGUGCGAAGAAUAUGACGGUAACACAUGAAUAAGGGUACGGCUAACUACGUGCCAGCAGCCGCGGUAAU
rnacentral:rRNA from 1 species